rnacentral:rRNA from 1 species
UACGAAGGGGGCUAGCGUUGCUCGGAAUUACUGGGCGUAAAGCGCACGUAGGCGGAUUGUUAAGUCGGGGGUGAAAUCCUGGAGCUCAACUCCAGAACUGCCUUCGAUACUGGCGAUCUCGAGUUCGGGAGAGGUGAGUGGAACUGCGAGUGUAGAGGUGAAAUUCGUAGAUAUUCGCAAGAACACAAGUGGCGAAGGCGGCUCACUGGCCCGAUACUGACGCUGAGGUGCGAAAGCGUGGGGAGCAAACAGG